ACUCAAAGGAAUUGACGGGGGCCCGCACAAGCAGCGGAGCGUGUGGUUUAAUUCGAGGCUACACGAAGAACCUUACCUGGGUUUGACAUGCCGGUAGUACCGUGCUGAAAGGCACGGGACCUUCGGGAGCCGGCACUGGUGCUGCAUGGCUGUCGUCAGCUCGUGCCGUGAGGUGUUAGGUUAAGUCCUGUAACGAGCGCAACCCCCGGGGCCAGUUAAACGGUCUGGUCCGACUGCCCGCGACAAGCGGGAGGAAGGCGGGGAUGACGUCAAGUCAGCAUGGCCUGUAUAUCCAGGGCUACACACACGCUACAAUGGUCGGUACAAUCGGUCGCCAAGCCGUAAGGCGGAGCCAAUCCAAUCAAAGCCGGCCUCAGUUCAGAUUGUGGGCUGCAACCCGCCCACAUGAAGUUGGAGUUGCUAGUAACCGCGCGUCAGCCAUAGUGCGGUGAAUACGUUCCCGGGCCUUGUACACACCGCCCGU
rnacentral:rRNA from 1 species